rnacentral:lncRNA from 1 species
CAUUAUUACAUCAAGCAAUUUAGAACCAUGGGGAUUGUAAGUGCUAUGAUGGAAACGCUCUUAGGCAUCCUCUCAGCCACAGAUUUACCUGGAAAACAAGACAACUGGGACACAGAGAAAAGUUUCAUCCCUUUCACACCAGAUGACCCUGCACUAAGAGGCUGGUAUGAUUCCAGAGAGAAACCUGGAAGCAAAGCAACCUAGAGCUCUCUGGCGAUAUAUGCUCUGUUUUCAGUAAAAUUAGUUGAAACGUGUUGGGGUGUUUUCUUCUAAAAUUUCCAUUUUAUCUCUUUGCUUGUACUUAGGAAAAUAUUGCUUAUGAGUCCUUUGUAAAUUAGAGGAAAAGAAGCAUAUUGAAAUAGAAAAAGAUAAAAUUCACCCUUAUCGCUCUUCUUCAUGUUCCACACACCUUCAAGUACUGUUUCUAUGUAGAUAAUACCCAUAAAUACCCCCAGCUCUGACUUUUCCCUCAAGUGUUUACUGAGCUAUCUACUUCGAUAUUACAAAUCUUCACUCCACUGUUUCCAAACCU